CCUACGGGGGGCUGCAGUGGGGAAUAUUGGACAAUGGGCGGAAGCCUGAUCCAGCCAUGCCGCGUGUGUGAAGAAGGCCUUUUGGUUGUAAAGCACUUUAAGCGAGGAGGAGGCUACUAGUACUAAUACUACUGGAUAGUGGACGUUACUCGCAGAAUAAGCACCGGCUAACUCUGUGCCAGCAGCCGCGGUAAUACAGAGGGUGCGAGCGUUAAUCGGAUUUCGUAGGCGUAAAGCUAAGUCGGAUGUGAAAUCCCCGAGCUUAACGUGGGAAUUGCAUUCGAUACUGGGAAGCUAGAGUAUGGGAGAGGAUGGUAGAAUUCCAGGUGUAGCGGUGAAAUGCGUAGAGAUCUGGAGGAAUACCGAUGGCGAAGGCAGCCAUCUGGCCUAAUACUGACGCUGAGGUACGAAAGCAUGGGGAGCAAACAGGAUUAGAUACCCGUGUAGUC
rnacentral:rRNA from 1 species